rnacentral:misc_RNA from 1 species
CUAGAAUUGAACAAGUAAGAAAGUUCCUCAAGAGGAAGAGCAGGAAUUGUUUACAAUGGUUAUCAGUUAAAAAUAUCAAAUUGCCUUCUAAGAUUUAUAAAUGAAGGAUCAACCAAUCAGAUGAGAUGUCCCUCAGAAAUUUUCAUAGUGAUUAAGUUAUUAUUUGAAGUUAGAAUAUUAGAUAUAGCCAUACUUAAUGCCAACGGUUAAAAGUAAAUGAAGUAGUUCCCACGUCAUCUGUUAUUCUCAUUCAUAGAGAUGAAAUCCUCAUCCAAUACCUUUAACCUCAGUGACAUGAAAAGCCUUCAAAG